UCCCCUGGGAUCCUGUUCCCUGGGAUAGAGCUCGCCCUUUAGAAUUUGUAAAGGUUUGUUAAGGGAUGAAAUGCAGCGUGGGGUGCUUGGCUGUAAACCGUGUUCUCUGUGUUCUGUUACAUUACAGGGGGUUCGUGCAUAUUCAUGAGUUUAUACGCAUUCAAACAGUUCCUUUGAGUUUAGAUGUUCUUUUGCUCGGUUUUAACCUUUCACUUGUCUUCGUGCCACCGUGUAGAUUAAGCCAAUAUAUUUUAUUUCUCCCUGUGGUGCCGCCCUGUUUUGUUUUCACUCCCUCGUUAUUUGAUAACGAGGGUCAAUAAUUUUUUUUUUUUCGGUGCUCUGGUUUCUGUUUCAGUUACCUUGUGUUUCAGAUAAGGCAGUCCCCGAAUGGGGGAAAGCACCUGAUUAUUUUACACCACUUUCUGAGUUACUUACACGUGAAAGCAGUUUAACAUUUUACAGUCUAUUAUGCUACAGUCUGAAAGCAGGAUCUGUUACACUGCUGUUUAUAAAAGGUAUACAACGCAUACAUAAACUGGCAGAUUAUUCUUUAUCAAGAGCAGUAAUUACAGACGGUACUCUCUCAGGAUUUCUGUGCAGUAACAACUUGCCAGAGCUGAUGCAUAAAUGCCAAAGGCAAUAACUAUAUUUGUUAUUUGUAAUUCUGGGCUGAGCUCCGUUUUCCAGGAAAUGGGUGUCCCUGUGCCCACCCCGUGGGUCCCAGAGAGAAACUGCUCCUGUGCCUGAGGGCCAGUGGGAAAACCGGAACAGUCCUGAUGGAAACCGGUAGAAAAACUGGUUUGGCUGGGUUUUGGAGUUGGUGUUUUCCCCCUGACCCCGCCUGAUCCCUGUGUUUUGCCUUGGGAAACGGGAACUGGGGACCAAGAGGCUUUGUUACCCUAGAAGGGACGAGUUUCUUUGAUUGAACUCCUGACCCGCCUGGGAUGAUUUGGGUCUCAGGAGGCACCUGAGAGCCAAACUCAUUUCCUGUCAGGAGUCCCUGAGGAAUGAGGACACUGAGCUGCAGUGGCUGUUGUCUGGUCAGGCUCCUGGGCUCCCAUGUCUCCCAGCUCUGGGCACCCUCAAGGCAGGGCUGCUUUUUAAAUGUUUUAGAUGCUGCAGCAGCAGCAGCUCCCUCCCUAGUGUGAGGAUAUCCAGCUCUUCCUUCGGGCUUGGAGCAUGGCAGGGUGCAGAGCUCCUGGUCAGUCUUGUUUAAACACUUUUAAUACCAAAACACUUGAAACCAGAGACUUUGAGGAAAUAGCCUGUGAAAGUCUGUUGCAAGUGUUAGGUACAAGCUGUCUUUGUGAGAGAUCCACAUUGGUGGGUGCUUUGUCAAACCACUCUGGGGCCAGAAUGUGUCCAAAAAUCUUCAUUAACCCCUUGUGUUCUGCUGGCAGGGCAGCGUCUGAGCCCAGCUCUGGGGGCUGUGUGGGGAUUCCUCCCUGGAGCAGGGCCACCCCAGGGGGAUGAGCCACGGAGCCGUUGGGCCAGGACAGGAAAAAUCAUCAAACUCUGCACAUGCUUGCCAAAAGCUUCGGUGUUUAAGAGGCUUCAGCACCAGGGAUCUUUGCUGGAGGGCUCCUGGUCCUGCCCGUGCUGUGGGGCUGUCCCUGCUGUGCCCAAGGCCUGAGACACAGAGAGCCCUGUCCAAAGUGGCCUUUGCCAGCUUGUCAGGAACGUGGCAGCAGCCCCGGGAGCAGGCUGGAGGAGAAAACCUCACAGCAGAGGCAGUUUGCAGUGGAGGCCAGAGUUGUGUUUGGAGCAGAGAAUGCUGAGAGCUGCCACAGCCUGACCACAGCCACAUGGAACAGCCUGGGAAAAGGGGAUGGGGGAAAUUCCUGAUUCCCCAGUGAGAACACGAACUCACAGCCAUUGAGGCCUGACAGUCCCCUCCAGCAAGAGCUCAGCACACAUCCACAGAGCAGCUGGAGGGAAGAGAGAAGAGGAUCCUUGUGGGAUGAGACUGCAGAGAACAAGGAGAGGAGUGGCCUCGGGCUGGAGAAGGGCAAAGGGACCACUGUGCUGUCACCAGGACACCUGUGAGAGACAGAACAGACACUUGGAGGCCACAUGGAGGAAAGGGACACACAUCCCUGUCUUCAGUGCACCUCCAGUGGGACUCACCUGUGACAGCUUUCCAUGACUUCUGCACCUGCACCUCAGCUGGCUCCCUGAAAAACUCCAGACCUCAUCCCACUCAAACCUCGGAUUUUCAGGUAAUGCCAGCUACUCCUUGGAGUCCUUCUGGGCUGGAGCAUCUCCAUGUCCUGGUCAGAGCAGCCACGGUGCAGGCAGUGCCCUGCAGAUCCCAAGGACAAGAGGUGCUGCUGCCUUUCGGGGGCUCCUGGCCUCCCCCUGCCCUGAGGGGACAUUGCUGGCAGCGAGCAGGAGACACCAAGGCCUCUGGGCUGGAAAAACAGCCCUGGCCUCAGCAGCCACCAUCGAUUUGACCUGGCAGCACUCACCUGCAGGAAAUGCCCCCUGCCAUUCUCCAGAAGAGCUUCAGCCAUGGAGCAAGGUAACCCUGGGGACUCAUCUUGAUUGUUUCUCCCUGCAAAGGGAUGUGGUGUGACCACAUUUACAGCUGAGCAAAUCCUGGAAAGGGCAGAAAAAUCAGAGGUAUGGGGAAGAGCUUGGUGCUGUCACAUCAGGUGCCAGCAGUUCUGCCCUGCAGCCACUGCAGGGGCUGGUGUGUAAAGCAGCCUUAGCAGAAGGGAAGGAGCUGCAUUUGUGCAGGAGCUCUCUUACUGGCAGCAGUCACUUGUCAUGAUCCUGGAUUGCCUCAGGUGCUUGGAGCAGGCUGCUGAGAAGGCCACAUUUCUGUGUUCCACGUGCAGCUGGGCCAGUUGUUUCUUAGCGUUUGACUUGAUGAUCCUCGUGGUUCUGGAAAUAAAGAAUAAAUACUUUUCACUGGCUUUUUAA